rnacentral:rRNA from 1 species
CGUAGGGUGCGAGCGUUAAUCGGAAUUACUGGGCGUAAAGCGUGCGCAGGCGGUUUUGUAAGACAGAUGUGAAAUCCCCGGGCUCAACCUGGGACCUGCAUUUGUGACUGCAAGGCUAGAGUACGGUAGAGGGGGAUGGAAUUCCACGUGUAGCAGUGAAAUGCGUAGAGAUGUGGAGGAACACCGAUGGCGAAGGCAGCCCCCUGGGCCAGUACUGACGCUCAUGCACGAAAGCGUGGGGAGCAAACAGGAUUAGAUACCCUGGUAGUCCACGCCCUAAACGAUGUCAACUAGUUGUUGGUAGGGUAAAACCUAUUAGUAACGUAGCUAACGCGUGAAGUUGACCGCCUGGGGAGUACGGCCGCAAGGUUA